UACAGAGGGUGCAAGCGUGGUUCGGAAUUACGGGGCGGAAAGCGCGUGUAGGCGGCGUCGUUAGUCGAAUGUGAAAGCCCUCGGCUCAACCGAGGAAGUGCAUCCGAUACUGCGACGCUUGAGUGUUGGAGGGGGUGGCGGAAUUCCCGGUGUAGAGGUGAAAUUCGUAGAUAUCGGGAGGAACACCAGUGGCGAAGGCGGCUCACUGGCCCGGUACUGACGCUGAGGUGCGAAAGCGUGGGGAGCAAACAGG
rnacentral:rRNA from 1 species